AGCUUUGUGCAGUGGCAGUAUCGUAGCCAAUGAGGUUUAUCCGAGGCGCGAUUAUUGCUAAUUGAAAACUUAAUAUAUUUAUUAAAUUUCAGUGACAUUCUUAGAUCCUGGAAAAGCUGAAU
rnacentral:snRNA from 1 species